ACCACUAUAUAUACAAGUCAAAACACCAUAUGGGUUAGGCUUUCUAUGCAGGGGAAGAAAAGGUGUGUGGGUGUGUUGAGGGGAAUGUUGGCUGGCUCGAAGCUUAAGCAAAGAGUUUCCUAACAUGAAACAACUGUUAAGGCUUCGGACCAGGCUUCAUUCCCCUCAAACAUACAAGCUUAUUUUAUGCAUUUCAUGUGCAAAUUCAUCAGUUAUUUCUUUCUCUCUUUGUUUAUUAGAAGAUAUAGCAUGAGUUCAGUUUCGUGAGGGUUAGGUUGAGAGGAAUGUUGUCUGGCUCGAGGUCAUUGAGGCCAUGAUUAUACAGACAUGGCAUUACCUGAUGACAGCCGAGAAAAUUCAAAGUCUGUGUGUAUCUUGUACCUCGAUGAUUCUCGGACCAGGCUUCAUUCCUUCCAACAAACAUUUGCUACAAUUUCUUUGCUUGCCAUCUCAUGAUUCUCCUAACUACAAUUCCAUAAUAUCAACUUCUGGUUGCUAGCUUAGCUUUUCUUUAAGUUCCAUCUCAGCUAUGUGGUCAAUACUCCUAAAUACAACAAAGAUGUGGGAUCUAGCUAGCCAUGAAUGCCUACAUUUGACGUGGACAAGAUAGCAGGUGCAGUGAAAAGCCAUUGGAUUUUGAAAUUGUUAGCAGGAACCUAGCUAAAACCUACACUUUCUUCCAUAGAGUCCAAAAGGCAGCCUUCUAUAUAGCCUCAAGUUUAAUACUGCUCCCCCUUUUAAGAAUCUAAGGUAAGGGAUAUGUUAGAAACAUGCAAGAAAAGACAUCCAUCUGUUUCUCUUUCCUAGUAAAUUAAUGGGUGCAUUCCCAUGCAAACGAUUAUAUCAAAUUAGAAGCAAAUCUUCAGUAACCAGGUAGAUGCUGGAUACAUAUGAUCAGUUACCCUAAAUAGCCCAUGAUUAUAUAGCUUUCAAAUGGUUAUAUUUCAUUCCCAAUUUAGCAACUAAAAUUAGACUAUUGUUUUAUGUGUUUUUGCUCAGAAAGAUGAUGUGGGCUAUGACUUAUGAACUAAGCUUAGCAUUGAAACGUAACUGUUGCACUUGUUUUGGGGCUUUGUUUUGUUGUAAGAAGUUAGCAUUUAAGGGCUGGGUCAUGAAAAAUACUGAAUUAAAAGAUUCCAUUCGUAGAUGUUAACAGUUAACAAGAGAAGAAAGGCAGCUAGCUUCUCGGUUAUCAUAGAUCCUUAUGAUCAACUUUUUUGUUGCCAUUAACUAUUUAUGACCCAAAAAAACCUGCAUAUUAUAUGACAACGAAAAACUUUACUGGAAAAGAGAGAGAGAGAGAGAAGCACAGAGAAAAUGGUGUAGUGCAUUUAUGACAAGGGCUUUUGAGUUGUUGAAAAAAUCAGAUAAUUAUACUAUCCUUGGAAAAGCUAGCUAGCUCACAGAUUUCAAACAUGGCAGGGUCUUCUCUUGCUUGUUUCUCUCGUGGAGGAAGGUCCAGUCCAGAUAUUUUGGCUUUUGAAAAGCCAACGUCAAUUUCAAUUUUCCAUUAGAGAGAAGAGGAGAGAGAGGAAGGGAGAGUAAAUGACGACUAUCUGACGCUUCUUGGGAAAUGUAACGAGAUAGAGAAGGCAUUAAUAGAUGGAUAGACAUGGUAUUGUUCCACCAACAUCAAUCUCUCCUGUUUGACAGCUUCAUCAUCAUGUAUUUAUUAUUAUUGAGUACUUCAAUACCAGCUAGCUCUGAUGGCUAGCUUAUUAGGGUUCUGUAGUGUUACAGUGUUGUGUGAAAGUAAUGUGAAGCUAUUUGUGGCACAGGAAUAUACUACCAUCUUCCAAGCUU